UCUGGCGCAACUAAUGAGACGUCUUCAGUCAGGAAUAAAUGAAGGAAUAGGUCAACAGCAUUUAGAUUUAGAUUAUGUCCAUUAUGUUAUGAAUCAGGAGGUUUUCAUUCUCACAUCUGCAUCAACUGUGCUUCCUAUACCCAUGGAUGCUGUGAAGCAUCUUUAAAGCCGUCAAGAAACAAUCAGUGUUGCUGUUUCUCAAGAGGGACCCUGAGCUGUAAUGACAAACGUUAGCAGUAGAAGAGGACAACCUAAACUACAAGUCUCUGAGGACCUGCUAACUCAUCUUAGUGAUAAGUUUCUACCGGUGUCAUGUGCUGCUCAUCUCCUGAGGGUCAGUGCAUCUUCCAUCUUUCGACGCAUGAGAGAACUUGGGUUGUCAACAAGAUCUUCCUGCAGCACCUUGUCUGACAGAACUGGACAGUGAUGUGUUGUCAGUAAAAGACAGAUGACCCAAUGCAGGAUCCAGAAUGGUGAAAGGUUGCUUUCAAGCAGAAGGACACAGAGUUGAAUGGGAAUGUACUAAGGAAUCAAUGCACAGAGUUGAGGCUGCUGGAGCUUUGGGGAGAUUGAUGCAUCUUGGUUGCAUCAUCAGAAGGACAUACUGUGUACAACACCCUCUGUCUUUAGUACAUGUGGACACAACCAUAGGCUAAUAAGCAGUGGUGGAAGCAGAGGAUGUUCUUGAGUGGGGUUUCGAAUCAUAUAAUGUGAUAAGAUGUCAGACAGCUUACCCACUGUUGACUCUCAAAGUAGAGGCAAACUAAAUACUUCAAACACGUCAGAAGAUCCACCGUAUAGUUACAGUGAAGUCAGGACAAAGAAACCCCCUCCACUGUUAGAAAAGAGGAGGACGGCACAGUAUUU